UACGUAGGGGGCUAGCGUUGUCCGGAAUCAUUGGGCGUAAAGCGCGUGUAGGCGGCCCGGUAAGUCCGCUGUGAAAGUCGGGGGCUCAACCCUCGGAAGCCGGUGGAUACUGUCGGGCUCGAGUACGGAAGAGGCGAGUGGAAUUCCUGGUGUAGCGGUGAAAUGCGCAGAUAUCAGGAGGAACACCGAUUGCGAAGGCAGCUCGCUGGGACGUAACUGACGCUGAGACGCGAAAGCGUGGGGAGCAAACAGG
rnacentral:rRNA from 1 species